GAUGAACGCUGGCGGCGUGCCUAAUACAUGCAAGUCGAGCGAACAGAUGAGGAGCUUGCUCCUCUGACGUUAGCGGCGGACGGGUGAGUAACACGUGGAUAACCUACCUAUAAGACUGGGAUAACUUCGGGAAACCGGAGCUAAUACCGGAUAAUAUAUUGAACCGCAUGGUUCAAUAGUGAAAGACGGUUUUGCUGUCACUUAUAGAUGGAUCCGCGCCGCAUUAGCUAGUUGGUAAGGUAACGGCUUACCAAGGCAACGAUGCGUAGCCGACCUGAGAGGGUGAGCGGCCACACGGGAACUGAGACACGGUCCAGACUCCUACGGGAGGCAGCAGUAGGGAAUCUUCCGCAAUGGGCGAAAGCCUGACGGAGCAACGCCGCGUGAGUGAUGAAGGUCUUCGGAUCGUAAAACUCUGUUAUUAGGGAAGAACAAAUGUGUAACUAACUAUGCACGUCUUGACGGUACCUAAUCAGAAAGCCACGGCUAACUACGUG
rnacentral:rRNA from 1 species